UACGGGGUGCAGCAGGCGCGAAAACUUUACAAUGCGGGAAACCGUGAUAAGGGGAUCUCGAGUGCCAGCAUAUAAUGUUGGCUGUCCAGAUGCCUAAAAAGCAUCUGUUAGCAAGGGCCGGGCAAGACCGGUGCCAGCCGCCGCGGUAACACCGGCGGCCCGAGUGGUAACCGCUAUUAUUGGGUCUAAAGGGUCUGUAGCCGGCCAGGUAAGUCCCUUGGGAAAUCUGGCAGCUCAACUGUCAGGCUGCUAGGGGAUACUGUUUGGCUUGGGACCGGGAGAGGUGAGAGGUACCUUGGGGGUAGGGGUGAAAUCUUGUGAUCCUCGAGGGACCACCAGUGGCGAAGGCGUCUCACCAGAACGGGUCCGACGGUAAGGGACGAAAGCUAGGGGCACGAACCGGAUUAGAUACCCGGGUAGUCCUAGCCGUAAACGAUGCUCGCUAGGUGUCAGUCACGGUGCGACCGUGAUUGGUGCGGUAGGGAAGCCGUGAAGCGAG
rnacentral:rRNA from 1 species